AGUCUUAUAUUCAACUAUGAUUUUAAAUUGCAAAUUUAAAGGUAAAAUAAAUUUUUAAGGCUU
rnacentral:tRNA from 1 species